rnacentral:rRNA from 1 species
GACGAACGCUGGCGGCGUGCUUAACACAUGCAAGUCGAACGAUGAAGCCGGAGCUUGCUCUGGUGAAUUAGUGGCGAACGGGUGAGUAACACGUGAGUAACCUGCCCUCGACUCUGGGGUAACUGCGGGAAACUGUAGCUAAUACCGGAUACGACCCUCGGCGGCAUCGCCAGGGGGUGGAAAGAAUUUCGGUCAAGGAUGGACUCGCGGCCUAUCAGCUAGUUGGUGAGGUAACGGCUCACCAAGGCGACGACGGGUAGCCGGCCUGAGAGGGUGAACGGCCACACUGGGACUGAGACACGGCCCAGACUCCUACGGGAGGCAGCAGUGGGGAAUAUUGCACAAUGGGCGCAAGCCUGAUGCAGCAACGCCGCGGGAGGGAUGACGGCCUUCGGGUUGUAAACCUCUUUUAGUAGGGAAGAAGCGAAAGUGACGGUACCUGCAGAAAAAGCACCGGCUAACUACGUGCCAGCCGCCGCCGUAA